ensembl:snRNA U6 U6 spliceosomal RNA
GUGCUUGUUUCAGCAGCACAUAGACUAAAAUUGGAAUGAUACAGAGAAGAUUAGCAUGGCCCCAGCGCAAGGAGGACAAAUUCAUGAAGCAUUCUAUAAUUUU